rnacentral:rRNA from 1 species
AUUGAACGCUGGCGGCAGGCCUAACACAUGCAAGUCGAACGGUAACAGGAAGAAGCUUGCUUCUUUGCUGACGAGUGGCGGACGGGUGAGUAAUGUCUGGGAAACUGCUUGAUGGAGGGGGAUAACUACUGGAAACGGUAGCUAAUACCGCAUAACGUCGCAAGACCAAAGAGGGGGACCUUCGGGCCUCUUGCCAUCGGAUGUGCCCAGAUGGGAUUAGCUAGUAGGUGGGGUAACGGCUCACCUAGGCGACGAUCCCUAGCUGGUCUGAGAGGAUGACCAGCCACACUGGAACUGAGACACGGUCCAGACUCCUACGGGAGGCAGCAGUGGGGAAUAUUGCACAAUGGGCGCAAGCCUGAUGCAGCCAUGCCGCGUGUAUGAAGAAGGCCUUCGGGUUGUAAAGUACUUUCAGCGGGGAGGAAGGGAGUAAAGUUAAUACCUUUGCUCAUUGACGUUACCCGCAGAAGAAGCACCGGCUAACUCCGUG